GUUUACGUCCAUACCACCCUGAAUGCGCCCGAUCUCAUCUGAUCUCGGAAGCUAAGCAGGGUCGGGCCUGGUUAGUACUUGGAUUGGAGGAAUUAAGCAUACACUAACUGAAAUAAAGA
rnacentral:rRNA from 1 species